CAACUUUCAACAACGGAUCUCUUGGCUCUCGCAUC
rnacentral:rRNA from 2 species